ACAAGGACCAUCACCACCUUGCAGAUCAGGGCAGGCUACGUCAAAACUCUACACAUUUAUUUGCCCAUCAAGGCAAAAACACAGUGAAAUUUCACAGUUAUGUUUAUUCUGGCCUCAUUUCAACAGUACACUGAAAUUUUAAAUGAGCUCGUUGACCUUUGUACAGUUCGUCCAUGGUGCACAUAAAAAACUAGGGGUCGGGGGAAGGUGCGCACAGGCGGGCACUCACGAAUGAAGCGAAGUUGUAGCACUGGAAAAUACCUCAGAGGAAAGGAAGGGCCAAGGCGAGAUGAAAGAGCGAGCUGAGAAACAACUGGCCUGGGAUUCAGCAAUGACCAGACCACUCUCAACAGAGGCCCACUCAGCCAAGGCAGCCCUUAAAGAACAGCCCUCACAGCUGACAGCAUAGAGCUGGGUCUUGAGCCCACCUGUGACUCUUGUAACUGCGUGAGGAGGAGUUUCACUGCUGUCGUCAUCAUCUGACUCAGAACAAGACCUUGACCUUGGAGGUGUGUGAUAGCGCUUUAAAAACAAAGAAGGAAAUAACUAAAAAAACGCCUCUCGAUCACAGUCUGCCACAGGACAGAGCUCCUGAAAUGAUCACCGUCAUGGAAGAGGUACAAAACUGUACCGAAUGACAAAGCUAAGCUCAUACGAGGGCCACAGAGACCAACCAAGGCCCUUUACGGUGUUCUACCUGUGUUCCCAAAGUCCCCCAAAUAGAAGAGAUUCCUAAAAUUCAGCCCUAAUGUUAAUAAACACCAAACACUACUAGAAAGAGCGUUUCCUCCAUAUUUGCUAACACACAUAUCACACAAAUACCAAGUAAUAUUAAGUCUGAAUGUUAGGGGUGACACUGCACAUUCAGAGAACUUGGCUUAUUGUUUUAAGUUUCAUAAACAUCUUUGCUCAUGAAAAAGUUUCAAAUCAACAUAUGAAGAUAUGACCCCAAAAAAGGAAGGAAAAAGCUCCAAUUCUUCAAGUUAUCAACACCAGCAUUUCUUCUCACACGAUUUCAUGCAUAUGCGCAUGGAACAUCAUUCCUACCCAAAUCUACUUUUGCUCCCCAAAAUGUCAACACAACAAGUUCCUUCAAACCAGCUACCCUAUUUUCCCCGUGCUCCACUAUUCUGAAACAAUCAGAACUUCCUUUCGUUUGAGUAGCCAUUCGCAGGUCUAAUUCAUAUAACGUAUUCUAGAACUCCUUGUUCGUCCUCCAUUGCUCUAUUUCUGAUUGUUAAUAUACAAUAAGCACUUUUGGUUUGAAGUUCAAGUUUAACUUUUCUAUAUUAUCGUGUUCUCUUAUGUAGAGGUCAGUGACAGGGACUGUUCUGCAUAGCUCCGCAGGUCCCCACUCCGUGGCUGGGAUGGAAGGCCUGCACAGACAGAGCCAAGAAGGCUCGGCGGCAACCCACACAGUGCGAAUAGCGCUGCUUCCCACCCAGGCAAGUGGGCCCAGAGUUUCUUGGGCCACCUUUCAGACUGACAAAAAUUAGGGAACACUAGCUAUUUCCUUCGGCAAGAUAAUGUUGGCACAUAAAUCAUUCCACAAAUUCAAAGCCUCGGGACCACCCUACAUCUCUUCCUUUUAGUCUACAUUUCACACCAGAAUAUUGACUUUAUCUUUGAAAGCAGGGCUAGACACUUUAUAAAAAAGGAAAGACAAACACAAACAAACUAAAACCGAGG